ACCGUAGAUUGUAAUAUACCAUUAACCCAUCAAAUCUUACAUUUCUGCCAAUAUCAUGCUACUUUUUCAAAUCCAGCUUCAAUUACUUUGAUUUUCAGCGAUUUUUCAGCUCUACGAUCUAUUAUCAGUAUCUGAAGCAUUUUCAGGUAAGGAAGCUGCCAAUGCUAGAGCACUUUGCUCUCGUUCUAUCAGUUACUGUUAUAUGGGCAUAUGCACACCUGUUGACGGCUAGUGGUGCUUACAAACACCGCCCCUGCUAAAACCCAAAUGAACUGCCGAACUGAUAAGGCUAACCUCAUCUCUACUGCACCAUGGAUAAAGAUCCCAUAUCCUUUACAAUGGGGUGCACCUUCUUUUGUUCCCGAUCAUGCAUUUGGAAUGAUGGCUGCUGUACUAAUCUCACUCAUUGAGGCGAUUUCUUGGGUUCGCUCACGACUUCUUCGCUUUUGUUCAUCAAAUUCUAGCGUGUUUCUGUUAAGGGCAUGAAUUGUGAGCUGUUGAGCCUAGAUUAAUACAUCUAUACUGCUAGGCAUCCUAGACAAGGGUGUGUGUAGUUGUGUGGCUGUUUGAGCUUGGCAUUACGAGGGUGUGUGUAGUUAUGUGGUUGUAUGGGUUGGGCAUCCUUGCAAGGGUAUGUAUAAUUGUGUGGCUAACUAGACGGGGCUUUCAUUCAUACCAAAAAGAAUAGUAUAUUACAAUUAGAUGCUAUGUGUCCUAGACUCUUUUUGUUUUCUGUGCAUAUGCUACGGUAAUAAAAAUGACAAUGGGAAGAGAAAGACUAGUGGAAGAAAAAAAAAAAACAGAGAGAGAGUACACUAUUCUGCCUCCUUUUAAAUUCCACUGAGAACUAUUACCUGGUAGCUAAAAUUCCAUUCCAGUGAUUGCAAUACACUCAAUACAAAUGCCUGCACCACCAGUGGUACUCCUUAAAGUGCAAUUUGCUCUGUAAUCUUGAAUUUCUCAAGAUAUAUUAGUCUUCAUUCUAUUAAUAAGGUUUAACUGGAUCAGGAAGAAUAAGUUGAUGGAUAUACAUGGUUUCAAAUCUAGCACCAUUUGUCAUUCUAUUUUAUAUAUAUUAGCUUUUAGUUUUAGUUUCAUUAUUUUUACAAUUAGUUUGGAAUACUUUGAAUGGCCUUGAAUUCCUUGAUUGCUUGUGUGUGAUGAGGAUGAUGGUGAUGAGGCAAAAUUAGAUGAUAGUGUGGACUAUUAUUGACGUUUCACCGUCUGCAAGCUUCCAAACUCCACCAGUUGUUUCCGGGGAGUUGAAGCAGCAUUCCUAGUGUCAUUAGAAUAAACAGAAUAAGUGCAAGUAGUACAACCAGCACCAGUCCUUAAUCUGCCAUUUUUCUUCUAUGCCUCGAUAAUUUCCUUGUUAUAUUAGUUGUGUGGCUGUUUGGGUGUGUGUGUGUAGUGAGCGGUGUGAGGCUGGGAGGCUGUGAGCACAUGAAAACACAUAUGGAUAGGACUCUGCUCCUAAAUUAAGGAAACAAAUGCUACCUUUAAAUGCUUUUCUUAUUUACUUUUGAGUAUUUUUUACUUACUUUUUGAGUUUUUUUAUUUACUUUUGAGUUAUUUAGCUUUACUUUGAAUGGAUAAACAAAUAAUCAAGAUUAUAAGUUUUGAAUUUCUUUUUGGUGGAUUAGUAUCGUAUGUAUGUAGGUCUUAUUAGUCUAGCUAUUUGAGUUAUUUGAAAUGAUCCAAAGUUCUAAACCCUCGUGAUGAUUGUACUGCAACCAACGACAACCGGUUAUCAUCUUGGAUAUAACCUGUUGUGGCUCAAAAGCACUUCAAACGGUUAAAUUUGAGAUCUAAGCUAAGCUAAAAACUUAGUAGCUAAAACCUUGCUCAUUUAAGCAACAACACACGGCUAAUUGCCGACUGCUAUAUCAUCGCUCCAAAAAGAGCAAGACAUCCAACGAAGCCCUCAGGCUGAAUUCGUCGAAGAAAACAAUUAACCCCAUAAGGAUUAACUCACAGCCGGUUGCUCUGAACGAUUUAAGAUGCGGUCAAUGACCAUCUGAUAUUCAGUUCGGAUGCUCAAUGGACAACUGUCCGCUUGGUUUAAGGCAAUCACCUUAGUGAUUGAUCCACUUUUAAAACCAAGCAUACAUCUGUCUAAGGGCAAAUACAUGGUAUACCGCAUGUACUAGGCUACGUACUUGGCAAAAUAUACACAUGUUGAAAAUUGCAAAAAUUGGAAUGGGAAAAAUUAAAGCAAAUUUGACAAAACCGACUCAGUCGGCAAAUCAUAUAAUAAAAACCGACCAAAAUGCCGGGAGAGUAAUUGUCAAACCGGAUCUACGUCCGGAGAAAGGAAAUUGUUAAAAGUACAAACAGAACUACUCGACAUACAAGCCGGAAAUACAGGUAGCUACCAAAAAUGUAUGUGAAAUAUACACUAGCCUACUAGCUCAACUGGUAGAGCAUUGUGCAAUUUCACAAAAGAUGUGGGUUCAAAUCUCAUGUAGGUUCAUUUGUGUAAUCUACAUAUUAGACUUCGCAUUAAAGUUUAAUUUAUUUGUAUGUUUUACUAGAUUUCUUUUUUUCUUUUGUUUACUUUCGAUAUAGUUUUAUUUACUUUAAAUUUGAAAACCUCUACAUUGAACUCAAUAUAUUUGUUUCUUAUAACUUGACUCAUCUUGUAAGGCUAUGAAAAUCAAUGACUCGGUGUUUUUGUGAUAUAACAAGGUUUCCGUAGUCAUUUAUCAUUUCAAGCUAAAUUAUUGUUCGUAUACUUUAGAGCUAAUGUGAUUUACUUUUUAGUUUUUUUUAUUUACUUUUAAGCUAUUUUGAAUAACUUUAGAGUGUUUUUAUAUGUACUUCUAGAGAACCUUUGUAGGAAUCGAACCUACACCUCUAUGGAUCCGCAUAGUGCUCUACCACUUAAGCUAAUAGGUUUACUUUAAAGACCUAUUUAUUCACUUUAUAUUCUUUUUUAUUUACUUUUAGAGACAACAAAUGUAUUUCUCGUCUUGUAUUUUUUUUUAUUUUUU